UUAUAAUUAUAAUAUAAGUGGGCUCCAGGUUCCUAUUUUGGGCUGAGUUCUUGAGAACUCUUAUGGUGUGGUGUCGAGACAGCAAACCUCUCCUCUUUACUAUAUAUUCACUUGCUUCGACUAAAAACCCUAGCCUGCUCUCUGCCUCUCUCUCCGGUCUCUCUCUCUCUCUCGUUAUCAUGCAAUUUUGUGAGUGAAAAACUAGAAUCGCUCGAUUUUCUGGAUAAGAGUUUCAAAAGCCAUGUUAUUGUUGGGCCUAAAGCAACCUCGAGGCUUUGGUGAUUCGAGGUUGGGUUAGGUGGACCGGCGGAUUUGUAGUUACGUUCUCCAACAACGACGAUGAUUUGGAUCUACAAGGUCUCAAAGGCGUUCGAUGGGGAAGGGCAGUGGGGGGCCUGAGCCUGGAGGUUGGGUUGCUCGCGGUAACUCACCCUUCUUCAUACUCUGCAGAUCCACAGCCUCUCUCUCUCUCUCAUUCUCUCUCUCAAGUACUCUCUCUUUCUCUCUAUCUCUCUGUAUCUGUAUAAGGCGUUAGAUUUGUCUCUCUCUCCCUGUUCGGUUCUGAUUGAUAUGAUACUGUUUUGUAACUCGUGAAAACAAAGAUGAAGGUGAUCGCUGUUUAUUUGCUCGCUGUGUUGGGGGGCAAGACCAGAACCGAAGACAUCAAGAGCAUCCUUGGCGCCGUUGGUGCUGAAGCAGAUGAUGACAAGCUUCAGUUUCUUCUCAAGGAAGUUGAGGGUAAAAACAUAACAGAGCUUAUUGCCUCUGGAAAGGAGAAGUUGGCUACUGUAUUUAGAUUAUAGAUAUAUUGCUUAAUUUCUCCAGAUAUAGGAUGUCAUCUCGUUUAAUUUUAAGUUCUUUUAUUAGGAACUGAUAUGUGAUUUAAUCUACAUUUUUUCUUUUUGGCAGGAAGCUGCUCUUGAUUUGGUAGCUGUGAUGUCAGUGGAGAAUUAUGUUUAAAAGUUGACUUCUAUGUAUAUGUAGGGAUAUAUGGUUGCAUAAGGACAAAUUUUAGGAUUAAGGACUGAUGUUGAAUUCAAUUUGGGGCAAAUCUCAGACACAUGAUGUUGUAGAGGCUUUGGUUCAAGACAAAUUUUAAGCUUUGCAAAAUUUGGUUUGAUAUGGGCGAAUAUGGGAGAAUGAGUUAGCAUCAGCUUUGUUUCACAACUGGAAAUUAAAUCACUGAGCAAGAGGAAAAAAUCAAACAAUAGCUUCAUCUGUUCACUGUCAAAGAUAAAUGAAGCUACAGGUAAAGGCUUUUAUUCAUGAAUUUAUAACAUUUCUAUUUGUUUGUACUCUACAACAUAUUAAUCGUAUCAAUAGUGUUGAUCAAUGAUAGUUUGAGGUUUAGGCAAUAGAUUUCAUCCUCAGCAAUGAAUGUUGACAUGAAUUAGUCACUUGAUUUUCUGACCUUCUGUGACAUUUGAAUCGUAAAGGACUCAUGAGUUGCCUUAACAAGAAAUUCUGACCAACCUUUAGCUCAGAAUGUUUUAGCUUUCAUUUCAGUAAUGUUUUUUGUUUAAAUGUUUGAGUUCAAUGAAUAUUGACUCAGAUACGAAAUUCAUUUUUUUCAUUCACUUUUGCCUAUAGCAGAUUCAUGAACAUUAUCUG